AACGUAGGAGACAACCGUUAUCCGGAGUUAUUGGGCGUAAAGGGCUCGUAGGCGGUUUGUCGCGUCGGGAGUGAAAACCUUGGGCUUAACUCAGGGCUUGCUUUCGAUACGGGCAGACUAGAGGUAUGCAGGGGAGAACGGAAUUCCUGGUGUAGCGGUGAAAUGCGCAGAUAUCAGGAGGAACACCGGUGGCGAAGGCGGUUCUCUGGGCAUGAUCUGACGCUGAGGAGCGAAAGUGUGGGGAGCGAACAGG
rnacentral:rRNA from 1 species